rnacentral:pre_miRNA from 1 species
AAAAAGACAAACCUUGGGUUUCCGUGUUCAACGUUUGACUGUCCAUCUUAUAUGAAAUUUUUUUAUAAUUAGUAUUUUCAUUGUUGUUAGAUGAUAAAACAUGAUUAAUACUUUAUGCGUGAUUUAUAUUUUUAAUUUUUUCAUAUUUUUUUAAAAUAAGACGGAUGGUCAAACAUUGGACACGG